AUGAACGCUAGCGGGAGGCCUAACACAUGCAAGCCGGGCGGGAUCCCUUCGGGGUGAGAGCGGCGUACGGGUGAGGAGCACGUGUGCAACCUGCCCCUGUCUGGGGGAUAGCCCUCCGAAAGGAGGAUUAACACCCCAUAGGAUGUUCGCCGGCAUCGGCGGUCAUUGAAAGGUUACGGACGGGGAUGGGCACGCGCAGGAUUAGGUAGUUGGCAGGGUAACGGCCUACCAAGCCUUUGAUCCUUAGGGGGCCUGAGAGGGUGAUCCCCCACACUGGUACUGAGACACGGACCAGACUCCUACGGGAGGCAGCAGUGAGGAAUAUUGGACAAUGGGUGGRAGCCUGAUCCAGCCAUCCCGCGUGAAGGACUAAGGGCCUAUGGCCUGUAAACUUCUUUUGUACGGGGAUAAACCUAUCUACGCGUAGAUAGCUGAAGGUACCGUACGAAUAAGCACCGGCUAACUCC
rnacentral:rRNA from 1 species